GACGAACGCUGGCGGCGUGCCUAAUACAUGCAAGUCGAACGCAGUUGCGAACGGGUGAGUAACGCGUAGGUAACUACCUAUUUGAGGGGGAUAACUAUUGGCAACGAUAGCUAAUACCGCAUACUCGUAGAUGGACCUUCGUUGUAUUAGGUAGUAGGUAGGGUAAUGGCCUACCUAGGCAACGAUACAUAGCCGACCUUGGAGGGUGGACGGGCAAAACGGGACGGGGACAAGGGCCAGACCUCGAAGGGAGGCAGCAGGAGGGAAUCUUCGGCAAGGGGGGGAACCCUGACCGAGCAACGCCGGGGGAGUGAAGAAGGGUUUCGGAUCGUAAAGCUCUGUUGUUAAGGAAGCGGUACUUAAACAGAAAGGGACGGCUAACUACGUGCCAGCCGCCGCGGUAAUAC
rnacentral:rRNA from 1 species